CAUAGCAGUCAUUUCACCCUGCAGCUCACAACUGGCAGCCCACUGAAGCUCAGCAGGUGUGAGCCUGGUCAGUACCUGGAUGGAAGGCCUCCUGGGAAAAACUAAGGUUGCUGCUGAAA
rnacentral:rRNA from 1 species